AUUGAACGCUAGCGGGAUUCCUUCCACAUGCAAGUCGAACGGAGUGGCGAACGGGUGAGUAAUGUAUCGGGCCGUGCCCAGUCGCGGGGGAUAACUACGCGAAAUCGUAGCUAAUACCGCAUACUAUUGGAGCGGCCGGUAUCGGAUGAGCUCGUUGGUGGGGUAACGGCUCACCAAGUAGACGAUCCGUAGCUGGUUUGAGAGUACGACCAGCAACACUGGGACUGAGACACGGCCCAGACUCCUACGGGAGGAAGCAGGGGGGAAUUUUGGACAAUGGGGGAAACCCUGAUCCAGCCAUCCCGCGUGUGGGAUGAAGGCCUUCGGGUUGUAAAGCACUUUUGGCAGGAAAGCGGUACCUGCAGAAUAAGCACCGGCUAACUACGUGCCAGCAGCCGCGGUAAUUC
rnacentral:rRNA from 1 species